CCUACGGGUGGCUGCAGUGGGGAAUAUUGGACAAUGGGCGCAAGCCUGAUCCAGCAACGCCGCGUGAAGGAUGAAGGUUUUCGGAUUGUAAACUUCUGUCGCGAGGGACGAAAAAUGACGUUACCUCGUAAGAAAGCCCCGGCUAAUUACGUGCCAGCAGCCGCGGUAAUACGUAGGGGGCAAGGGUUUUCCGGAAUGACUGGGGUUAAAGGGAGGGUAGCGGGGUAGGCAAGUCAGAUGUGAAGUCCGGAGGCUCAACCUCCGGAUUGCAUUUGAAACUGUUUUUCUUGAGUACUGGAGAGGUAGGCGGAAUUCGUUGUGUAGCGGUGAAAUGCGUAGAUAUAAGGAGGAACACCAGUGGCGAAGGCGGUCUGCUGGACAGCAACUGACGGUGAGGCGCGAAAGCGUGGGGAGCAAACAGGAUUAGAUACCCUGGUAGUC
rnacentral:rRNA from 1 species